GACGUAGGAGGCGAGCGUUGUCCGGAUUCAUUGGGCGUAAAGAGCGCGCAGGCGGCUUGGUAAGUCGGAUGUGAAAUCCCGAGGCUCAACCUCGGGUCUGCAUCCGAUACUGCCCGGCUAGAGGUAGGUAGGGGAGAUCGGAAUUCCUGGUGUAGCGGUGAAAUGCGCAGAUAUCAGGAGGAACACCGAUGGCGAAGGCAGCUCGCUGGGACGGUACUGACGCUGAGGCGCGAAAGCGUGGGGAGCGAACAGG
rnacentral:rRNA from 1 species